rnacentral:tRNA from 1 species
GCGGACAUGGCGGAAUUGGUAGACGCCCUGGUUUUAGGUACCAGUGUCGCAAGGCGUGGGAGUUCGAGUCUCCCUGUCCGCACCA